rnacentral:rRNA from 1 species
GACGAACGCUGGCGGCGUGCUUAACACAUGCAAGUCGAACGAUGAAGCUGGAGCUUGCUCCGGUGGAUUAGUGGCGAACGGGUGAGUAACACGUGAGCAAUCUGCCCUUGACUCUGGGAUAACUGCGGGAAACUGUAGCUAAUACCGGAUACGAGGCUCGAAGGCAUCUUCGGGUCUGGAAAGAAUUUCGGUCAAGGAUGAGCUCGCGGCCUAUCAGCUUGUUGGUGAGGUAAUGGCUCACCAAGGCGACGACGGGUAGCCGGCCUGAGAGGGUGACCGGCCAGACUGGGACUGAGACACGGGCCAGACUCCUACGGGAGGCAGCAGUGGGGAAUAUUGCACAAUGGGCGAAAGCCUGAUGCAGCAAUGCCGCGUGAGGGAUGAAGGCCUUCGGGUUGUAAACCUCCUUUAGCAGGGAAGAAGCGAAAGUGACGGUACCUGCAGAAAAAGCACCGGCUAACUACGUGCCAGCAGCCGCGGUAA